UUACACAUGCAAGUGGAGCGACGAACCAGGGCUUGCCCUGGGGCAGAGCCGCGAACGGGUGAGUAACACGUGGGUAACCUACCCCGAUGACUGGGACAACCCGAGGAAGCUCGGGCUAAUACCGGAUGUGCUCGGAGUUCACGAGAACUUUGAGUAAAGGAAGCUUCGGCCUCCGCAUUGGGAGGGGCCCGCGGCCCAUUAGCUUGUUGGUGGGGUAACGGCCUACCAAGGCUGCGAUGGGUAGCUGGUCUGAGAGGACGAUCAGCCACACUGGGACUGAGACACGGCCCAGACUCCUACGGGAGGCAGCAGUGGGGAAUCUUGCGCAAUGCGCGAAAGCGUGACGCAGCAACACCGCGUGAGGGAAGACGGCCUUCGGGUUGUAAACCUCUUUCAGGAGGGACGAAGGUCGACCGGUGAAUAGCCGUGUCGACUGACGGUACCUCCAGAAGAAGCACCGGCUAACUACGUGCCAGCAGCCGCGGUAAUACGUAGGGUGCAAGCGUUGUCCGGAAUCAUUGGGCGUAAAGCGCGCGUAGGCGGCCCGAUAAGUCCGCUGUAAAAGUCAACGGCUCAACUGUUGAAAGCCGGUGGAUACUGUCGGGCUAGAGUACGGAAGAGGCAAGUGGAAUUCCCGGUGUAGCGGUGGAAUGCGCAGAUAUCAGGAGGAACAC
rnacentral:rRNA from 1 species